CAGAGCCACUACUAGACCCUGUUUUACUGUGCACCCACCCUCUGCCACUGUCGCUACCCCAGCGCCACCACUAGGCCGCCACCGUGUUGCUCUGGCCAUUCACUCAUCAUCAUCAAUCUUUCCCUUUCUUUCCCCUGUUCCAAUUCCCUGCUUCCCAGGGGGCCAAUAUUCUUGUAGAUAAUAAAGGUUGCAUUAAACUUGCAGAUUUUGGGGCCUCCAAACAAGCUAGUAUUAGAAUGGAUUACUUGAACGUGCAC